rnacentral:rRNA from 1 species
CCAGCAGCUGCGGUAAUUCCAGCUCCAAUAGCGUAUAUUAAAGUUGUUGCAGUUAAAAAGCUCGUAGUUGGAUUUGUGGUGUAUGUAGGCGGCCUGUCACUAUGUGAUGGAGCUUGCUUGCGUCGCCAUCCUUGGGUGGAUCCUGUGUGGCAUUAAGUUGUCGCGCAGGGGAUGCCCAUCGUUUACUGUGAAAAAAUUAGAGUGUUCAUAGCAGGCUUAUGCCGUUGAAUAUAUUAGCAUGGAAUAAUAAGAUAGGACCUUGGUACUAUUUUGUUGGUUUGCGCACCAAGGUAAUGAUUAAUAGGGACAGUUGGGGGUAUUCGUAUUCCAUUGUCAGAGGUGAAAUUCUUGGAUUUCUGGAAGACGAACUACUGCGAAAGCAUUUACCAAGGAUGUUUUCAUUGAUCAAGAACGAAAGU